rnacentral:rRNA from 1 species
GACGAACGCUGGCGGCGUGCCUAAUACAUGCAAGUCGAACGCAGUGGGGACGGGUGAGUAACACGUGGGUAACCUCCCAUCAGAGGGGAUAACACUUGGAAACAGGUGCUAAACCGAUACUGAUGGAUGGACCCGCGGUGCAUUAGCUAGUUGGUGAGGUAACGGCUCACCAAGGCCACGAUGCCUCGCCGAACCGGAAGGGGGAUCGGCCACACUGGGACUGGGACACGGCCCAGACUCCUACGGGAGGCAGCAGUAGGGAAUCUUCGGCAAUGGACGGAAGUCUGACCGAGCAACGCCGCGGGAGUGAAGAAGGUUUUCGGAUCGGAAAGCUCUGUUGUAAGAGAAGCGGUAUCUUACCAGAAAGGGACGGCUAACUACGUGCCAGCAGCCGCGGUAAUAC